rnacentral:rRNA from 1 species
GACGAACGCUGGCGGCGUGCUUAACACAUGCAAGUCUAACGGAAAGGCCCUGCUUUUGUGGGGUGCUCGAGUGGCGAACGGGUGAGUAACACGUGAGUAACCUGCCCUUGACUUUGGGAUAACUUCAGGAAACUGGGGCUAAUACCGGAUAGGAGCUCCUGCUGCAUGGUGGGGGUUGGAAAGUUUCGGCGGUUGGGGAUGGACUCGCGGCUUAUCAGCUUGUUGGUGGGGUAGUGGCUUACCAAGGCUUUGACGGGUAGCCGGCCUGAGAGGGUGACCGGCCACAUUGGGACUGAGAUACGGCCCAGACUCCUACGGGAGGCAGCAGUGGGGAAUAUUGCACAAUGGGCGGAAGCCUGAUGCAGCAACGCCGCGUGCGGGAUGACGGCCUUCGGGUUGUAAACCGCUUUCGCAUGUGACGAAGCGUGAGUGACGGUAAUGGGUAAAGAAGCACCGGCUAACUACGUG